GACGUCGGAGGCGAGCGUUGUCCGGAUUCAUUGGGCGUAAAGAGCACGCAGGCGGUUUGGCAAGUCGGAUGUGAAAACCCGGAGCUCAACUCCGGACCUGCAUCCGAAACUGCCCGACUAGAGGUAGGUAGGGGAGAUCGGAAUUCCUGGUGUAGCGGUGAAAUGCGCAGAUAUCAGGAGGAACACCGGUGGCGAAGGCGGAUCUCUGGGCCUUACCUGACGCUCAGGUGCGAAAGCCAGGGGAGCGAACGGG
rnacentral:rRNA from 1 species